rnacentral:pre_miRNA from 1 species
AAGCGUAGCUUAUUUAGUGGCACUAGGGAAGAUCAUGGCGGAACAGCGCAGCACUGAGCUAGAUUUCAGACGCCAUGUUCUUCUAUAUAUAGUGCCACUAAAUAAGCUACGCUU